CAGCUGACGAGUCCUUUACUGACGCUAAAGCUCGAAGGUGCGGGUAUCGAACAGGAUUAGAUACCCUGGUAGUCCGCACGGUAAACGAUGGAUGCCCGCCGUUGGCGAUACAAUGUCAGCGGCCAAGCGAAAGCGUUAAGCAUUCCACCUGGGGAGUACGCCGGCAACGGUGAAACUCAAAGGAAUUGACGGGGGCCCGCACAAGCGGAGGAACAUGUGGUUUAAUUCGAUGAUACGCGAGGAACCUUACCCGGGCUUGAACUGCAGGGGAACGAUCCAGAGAUGGUGAGGUCAGCAAUGACCCCUGUGGAGGUGCUGCAUGGUUGUCGUCAGCUCGUGCCGUGAGGUGUCGGCUUAAGUGCCAUAACGAGCGCAACCCUUUUCUCUAGUUGCCAUCAGGUUAAGCUGGGCACUCUGGAGACACUGCCACCGUAAGGUGUGAGGAAGGUGGGGAUGACGUCAAAUCAGCACGGCCCUUACGUCCGGGGCUACACACGUUGACGGGCGGUGUGUACAACGAGUCGGUAGUAAGCAAAUGCGAUCCAAUCAAGAAAGCUCUCCUCAGUUAGGAAUGGGGUAUGCAACCCGACCCCAGAAGAA
rnacentral:rRNA from 1 species